GAGUUUGAUCAGGCUCAGAUUGAACGCUGGCGGCAUGCCUUACACAUGCAAGUCGAACGGCAGCACGGGAGCUUGCUCCUGGUGGCGAGUGGCGAACGGGUGAGUAAUGCAUCGGAACGUAUCCUGGAGUGGGGGAUAACGUAGCGAAAGUUACGCUAAUACCGCAUAUUCUGUGAGCAGGAAAGCGGGGGACCUUCGGGCCUCGCGCUCUUGGAGCGGCCGAUGUCGGAUUAGCUAGUUGGUGAGGUAAAGGCUCACCAAGGCGACGAUCCGUAGCAGGUCUGAGAGGAUGAUCUGCCACACUGGAACUGAGACACGGUCCAGACUCCUACGGGAGGCAGCAGUGGGAUUUUGGACAAUGGGGGCAACCCUGAUCCAGCCAUGCCGCGUGAGUGAAGAAGGCC
rnacentral:rRNA from 1 species